AACGAACGCUGGCGGCAUGCCUAACACGUGCAAGUCGAACGAAACCUUCGGGACCAGUGGCGCACGGGUGCGUAACGCGUGGGAACCUGCCCUUAGGUUCGGAAUAACUCCCAGAAAGGGGUGACAAUACCGGAUAAUGUCUACGGCCCAAAGAUUUAUCGCCUUUGGAUGUGCACGAGUUGGAUUAGCUAGUGGGUAGGGUAAAAGGCUACCAAGGCGACGAUACAUAGCUGGUCAGUGAGGAGGAUCCGCGACACUGGGGCUGAGACCCGGCCGAGACUCUUACGGGAGGCAGGAGUGCGGAAUGUUGCACAGUCGGCUGAGGCCUGAUCCACCUCGGCCGGGAGAGUUCUGUAGGCCUUAAGGUUGUAAAGCGCUUUUAACCGGGCUCAUCAUGACGGUACCGGGAGAAUAAGCCCCGGCUAACUCCGUG
rnacentral:rRNA from 1 species